rnacentral:tRNA from 1 species
AAGGGAGACCUAAUUCAGGUAUGGGACGAAAAAAAAGUAGUCGCUACCAAGAAUCAAUCCCAAAAGGUCGGAGCGAGGUAUGAGGCUUUCAAACUAGGUUCUGGGUUCAAACAAGACCUGAAUCAGGAACAAGGGCUAUUAGCUCAGGUGGUUAGAGCGCACCCCUGAUAAGGGUGAGGUCCCUGGUUCGAGUCCAGGAUGGCCCACCUGCACAGGUGGCAAAAACAAGAGAAGCGAGGAAUCAGUACCUUAUCUUAUCUAUAUAUAAGAGAGAAUGCUGGCUCUGAGUAAAGAGUCCAGAGGAACCUUGAAAACUGCAUAGAGCUAGGUGAAAAAGCCAAAAAAGAAGACCGCAA